rnacentral:rRNA from 1 species
CGUGUAGGCGGUUGGGCAAGUCAGAUGUGAAAGCCUUCUGCUUAACAGAAGAAGUGCAUUUGAAACUACCCGGCUAGAGUACGGGAGAGGAGAGUGGAAUUCCCGGUGUAGAGGUGAAAUUCGUAGAUAUCGGGAGGAACACCAGUGGCGAAGGCGGCUCUCUGGCCCGAUACUGACGCUGAGACGCGAAAGCGUGGGGAGCAAACAGGAUUAGAUACCCUGGUAGUCCACGCCCUAAACGAUGGGCACUAGGUGUAGGAGGUAUUGACCCCCUCUGUGCCGAAGCUAACGCAUUAAGUGCCCCGCCUGGGGAGUACGGCCGCAAGGCUAAA